rnacentral:rRNA from 1 species
UAGUAAUAGUUAUAGGCUUGAAACUUAAAGAAUUUGGCGGUAUUUUAAUCUUUUCAGAGGAACCUGUUCUGUAAUCGAUAUUCCACGUUAAAUUUUACUAAAUUAUUUAUAUAUCGUUGUCGAAAGAAUAAAUUUUCUAAUAUUUUUAAGAAAAUAGAUGUCAAAUCAAGGUGUAGUUAAUAUUUUAGUAGAAAUGGGUUACAAUAAAUUUAUUUAGAACAUUUUAGAAGGAGGAUUUGAAAGUAAAUUAAUUUUAGUAAAUUUAAUUGAUUAUAGUUCUAAAAUAUGC